UCCCAACAUCGACUUAGGCUGCACUAUAUUGUUUGGGCCCCAAAAGGCUAAAAUGGGCCUAGGCGUUUGGCCUUUACGUGGCUUUCCUCACCUGUGAAACCAGCCUCCCCUCUCCCUGGCGGCUGGUGGACCUUUUCCUCUUUCUUGCGUCGUCCACCGGUGGCGGCGGUGGCGGAAGUAUUUUGCGGUGCCGCUCCACCGGCCUCGCGCCCUCGCCUCAGCAUACCCUUCAACAGGCGGCACCAGGCGAUGGUGAAUACGGCAACUGCACUCUCUCCCUUCCUCCUUUUCCAUCGGGCUGGCCUUCUUUCUUCACGGUGAUGCAAGCACCGCCGCUUCUUCGCACAAAGUUUUCCCUUUCCUCUGGUUUAGGUACCCACUACUCCAUACCUCUUCCCGAGACAUCAUCGCACUAUCUAAGUUAGUCAAUUGGGAAUUAGCAGUGUGUUGCUUUCGCGGGUUGCUAAUUUCAUCUAUUGAGUUCACGGGCCAGAAGCAGUUCAUGAUGUCCGUAACUCCAUGAAGGAAUUCCUAGAUUCGUUGGGUUAGGAAUUGAUGCACUGUUUGAAUUUAUGUGGUUUCAAAGCUUCCUUGAUUUAUGUGAAGGAUUUUCAAUUUGCUAUAAGGUAUGUGUCUCCUUGGUGGUACAUACGUUCAAAUCAAAAGUUUGUAGAAGUACAACGUCUACUACCCAAGUUCCCUUACCGCUGCAUCUCUUCCAUAGGCGUAAUCACUCACUGCCACACUUAGCGAGAAAUUCCCCUUUACCAGCAAAGCACAACGAGGCAGCGUUGAGGGGCAUGCAUGAGCUGAAAGAUAUGAUCGCCAUCACCCUUUCCUUCUAGAGCUACUACUUGAUGGAAUUUAGAUUUUCGUUGUAUUGGUACGAUUUAUGGUUUUGUCACUGUACUUUGGUGCAGAAAUCAACCAGGUAUUUAGUUUGUUAUACUCAAGUUGACUACAUCAAUCGGGCUCUACUUGGCAUCAAAUAAUGAAUACCGCUGGAUCCAGAAUGUUUUAUUUUGGUAGUAUUUAAUGUAUUGCAUUAUGCAUAAGGUCUAAACUGCAACACUUUGCACUCUAGCUCAAGUCGUUUUCUAUAGUUUUGCCUAUGUUCUUAUUCUUAGUUUUGGAUUUGAACAUUGGUCGGUGCAUGUUUUCUAGACCCAAGCAACAGCGAACGAUGCAUUGGAUGCGACAUGACAACUCCUCACCCGCACCUUGUUCGCCUUGGCCUCAUCGCCACCUUGUUUGUCCAACAAGGUUGUGAAUCUGGAGGUUGCACUUUGCCAUACAAGUUCCAGUCCAAUGGAUCAUUGGAACGGUGUAUGAAUCAUUUUAAAGGGAAGUGCUUAAAUGGCAAAAAUCUUCAGAAGAGUCGGUAGCCCCAUAACCCCAUCUUCCCUAUGGCUGGUCCGGAAGCAAAGAAACUUCUUUCAAAGAAGAAGCUGCACCGUUCCUCACAAGAGGAUGUCCAUGUGCCUCCACCCUUUUACAAUGGUUAUACUUUUUUAUCACAUACUCUUAUAGGAUUGCUCCAUGGUACAUUCAGUGGAGUAGUAAGUUGGAUGCGCACUAUAAAUUUUACUGAUUUGGAGUCUGAAACAACACAAUGUCCAAUCAGUACAUUUUCCUUUGGUGAGACAUAGAGCAAAUUUUUCUUUUCGUAAUCCUACGUUGUAUUGCACAAGAACUUUGACCAAGAUUAGUAAUUGUAUUCUUGAAUCCAUGUUAAGUUUCCCCUUA